UACGGGGGGAGCACGCGUUGUUCGGAUUUACUGGGCGUAAAGGGUGCGUAGGUGGCGGGGCAAGUCUGGUGUGAAAUCCCGGGGCUCAACCCCGGAACUGCACUGGAUACUGCCUUGCUAGAGCACUGGAGAGGGAACUGGAAUUUACGGUGUAGCAGUGAAAUGCGUAGAUAUCGUAAGGAAGACCAGUGGCGAAGGCGAGUUCCUGGACAGUUGCUGACACUGAGGCACGAAGGCUAGGGGAGCAAACGGG
rnacentral:rRNA from 1 species